CUCAAAAACCAAGUCCGAGAGUUAUUUCCGGUGUGUCCACGCUGGCAGAGUCGAGAAGGGUGAACUGUGGAGACGAAACGCAUAAAGGCGAGGCAGUGAACUCGCAGCAAAAGUCUGGGUUCACUGAGUGAUGGGCAGUGGCACGAGAGACUCAUUUCCUCACCAAGGAAAAGCUGAGCUCACGGGUGACCGGAAGCCCCAGCAUUCAGAACCAGGUGGGAAAUCUUUGGAGCAUUUCUGAACCAGAUGAGUAAGGACAGUUGCUGUUCUCCGCCCUCAUUCCAGGUGUUCAAGACUUAAUUCUGAGAUCAAGAGUUGCAGAACUGGAUGGAUGAGAACAAAGUAUGACACACAGGUCUAGAUGGAGAAAUCUUAACUACUCCCCAGCACUGUCUGCCCAUGUGCCACCAUGCUCCCCACCAUGGUAACAAUGGACAAAACCUCUGAAACUCACAGAGGAUGCCAGGUGGAUGAGACCUGGGACGGCGCAUUUCUCAGAAGCAGGACUGUGAGCACUGUUCAUGGCUGGAACCUAGUGCAGUCUGGGAUUAGCUAGGUAGGUUUUUAAUUUUUUUAUUGCUUUUGCUCAUCUGAGUAAUCAUAUCAUAAUCCUAGUGAGUGGAGUCAAGGAGUAGAUUCAGAGAUCCCACCUUGACACCUGAAACUAGUGCUUUUUCUCAACCCUGCAUAUUUACGAUAAAUUAGUAAGUUGGAAAAAAGUACAUACUAAUAAAUUUGCAAAAUCUAUUAGUAAAAUGUUUGGUGCUGUUUAACUCACUGACAAGCUGGCUGUGGAGGCUGGGUUGUCCCUGUCCAAUUUCAAACCAAAGCAUGUUUAUGUCAGUGUGUCCUCAAAAGACCCCUUGUCUACCGAGCCCUAUGAGAAACAUAAAGGAGAACAGAAAACAGUCCUCGGGAAUAGGAGAGCAGCUUGUGUGAAUAAAAACCGCAUGUCCUUGAACACAGCUGGGAGGUAAAUCAUUUCCAGGCACCUUUCCAAAGCAACUCUGCUACU